CGAAUACAAAGUGAACUAAAAUCAAAAGUAUUUCAAAAAAAAAAAAGUAUGGUAAUUAGCAUAGUCUAGUCCCGUGACGUUCUAACAAGACUAUGAGGCACAAAAUUUGCUUAUCUCUAGAUAAAAUUAAUAGAAUUGUAAAUAUAAGAUAAACUAUCUUUACAAUUGAAUAGAAUGGAACCAAAUUCAUUUGCUGUAUAGCCGGUGCCUUUAUUCCAUCAGCCACUUGCUUGCAAUCCAGUUCCAACUUGACAUUAUGCAUGUCCAAUGCUUAUGCCAAUUAGCCGCCUCCAAUAG
rnacentral:lncRNA from 1 species